AGAGAGAGUAAACAGUGCGUGAAACCGCUCAGAGGUAAACGGGUGGAGUUGAACUGCAAGCUUUGAGAAUUUAACUGGUGAGUAUGUCCUUGGCUUGGUGAGGCUGGUUGACCUUUGAAGUUCGCUUAGCUGCGAGUGCUGCUUUUCGGAGCGGUAUGCGUGAAGCGCUUGUCAAGUGCUGUGCGCGACGAGGGUACAUCGGACCAAUUUGCCAGUGCACUUUCUCAGAGUCUUCACCACGACCGGCGCGGCUGUCUGUUUGCUGUGGUUAAACCGGGUUUGUAUCGUCCUUGUGGCUUUGCAGGUUCGGGAUGGCAGGUAGCUCGUUUGUGCCCAGCAUAAUCGAGUGUAAUCAGCUGACUACAGUAUUACUGUGCAGUGCGUCGGAGACGGCGGCUUGUGGUGCGUGCAUGCGUGCCUGUUUGGCUAGCGACUGUGAGUCUGGUUGUCAUGUAGUUUGUAAGACAGGCCGGGCAAUGGCUCAUGGUCGUUUGGUUGACGGUUGCGUGUGUGGCACUUUAAUGGGCCUAUAGUCUGUGGUGUAGUGGUAGACGAUCCACCUGACCCGUCUUGAAACACGGACCAAGGAGAGCAACAUGUGCGCGAGUCAAUGGGCCAUACGAAACCCAAAGGCGAAGUGAAAGUGAAGGUUCGUCUCGUGCGAACUUAGGUGAGAUCCUGUCGUUUCUCAUGCGCGGUACUUCCAAGCAUUCGAGCGGCAGGCGCAUCACCGGCCCGUCUCAUGGCGUAGUGGUUGAUCUUCGGAUUGAUACAACACCGGGGCGGAGCAGAG
rnacentral:rRNA from 1 species